CCUACGGGUGGCAGCCGUGGGGAAUAUUGGACAAUGGGCGCAAGCCUGACCCAGCAACGCCGCGUGAAGGAAGAAGGCUUUCGGGUUGUAAACUUCUUUUAAGAGGGAAGAGCACAAGACUGUACCUCUUGAAUACGCCACGGCUAACUACGUCGCCGCAGGCACGGUAAGACGUAGGUGGCAAGCUUUUUCCGGAUGUACUGGGGUUAAGUGGCGUGCAGCCGGGAAGACAAGUCAGAUGUGGAACCCCUCGGCUCAACAGGGGAACUGCAUUUGAAACUGUUAUUGUUGAGGACCGGAGAGGUCAUCGGAAUUCCUUGUGUAGCGGUGAAAUGCGGAGAUAUAAGGAAGAACACCAGUGGCGAAGGCGGAUGACUGGACGGCAACUGACGGUGAGGCGCGAAAGCGUGGGGAGCAAACAGGAUUAGAUACCCCAGUAGUC
rnacentral:rRNA from 1 species